rnacentral:rRNA from 1 species
UAAUACGGAGGGUGCGAGCGUUUAUCGGAAUUACUGGGCGUAAAGCGCAUGCAGGCGGUCGAAUCAGUCAGAUGUGAAAUCCCCGGGCUCAACCUGGGAAUGGCAUUUGAUACUGUUCGACUAGAGUCCUUGAGAGGGGGGUAGAAUUUCAGGUGUAGCGGUGAAAUGCGUAGAGAUCUGAAGGAAUACCAGUGGCGAAGGCGGCCCCCUGGCAAGAGACUGACGCUCAGAUGCGAAAGCGUGGGGAGCAAACAGGAUUAGAUACCCUGGUAGUCCACGCCGUAAACGAUGUCUAUUAGGAGCUUGUGGCCUUGAGCCGUGGGUUCCAAAGCUAACGCAUUAAAUAGACCGCCUGGGGAGUACGGCCGCAAGGUUA